rnacentral:rRNA from 1 species
AUUGAACGCUGGCGGCAGGCCUAACACAUGCAAGUCGAGCGAGCGGCGGACGGGGGAGUAAUGUCUGGGAAACUGUCUGCUGGAGGGGGAGAAAUACUGGAAACGGUAGCUAAUACCGCAUACCAUCAGAUGUGCCCAGAUCGGAUUAGCUAGAAGGUGGGGUAACGGCUCACCUAGGCGACGAUCCCUAGCUGGUCUGAGAGGAUGACCAGCCACACUGGAACUGAGACACGGUCCAGACUCCUACGGGAGGCAGCAGUGGGGAAUAUUGCACAAUGGGCGCAAGCCUGAUGCAGCCAUGCCGCGUGUGUGAAGAAGGCCUUCGGGUUGUAAAGUACUUUCAGCGGGGAAGCGUUACCCGCAGAAGAAGCACCGGCUAACUCCGUGCCAGCAGCCGCGGUAAUAC